UACGUAGGGGGCAAGCGUUGUCCGGAUUCAUUGGGCGUAAAGCGCGUGUAGGCUGUUCGGUAAGUCGGGUGUGAAAGCCCUGGGCUCAACCUAGGAAGUGCACUCGAAACUCCCGAACUGGAGUCCCGGAGAGGAAGGUGGAAUUCUCGGUGUAGAGGUGAAAUUCGUAGAUAUCGAGAGGAACAUCGGUGGCGAAGGCGGCCUUCUGGUCGGUGACUGACGCUGAGACGCGAAAGCGUGGGGAGCAAACAGG
rnacentral:rRNA from 1 species